GUAGCGGAUACCUUGGCCGUUAAAUGCGGUCUUUGCAUGAAUGACUUAACGAUACAACAGCUGUCUCGAUGAUUGUCUCAGUGAAAUUGGAAUAGCAGUGCAGAUACUGUUUACCUCUAGAUAGACGAGAAGACCCUAUGCAGCUUUACUGUUACUAAUUACAAGAGAUUACUUUAAGUUAAUUGCGAGUGUAUAAGGUAGUCGUAAGACAAUAAUGAAACACCUUUAUUUGUACUUAUUAUCUACUCUUGAUGAUUAGGAGGCAGUUUAUGCGGGGCACAGAUCCCACAAAAAGUACCUGGGUAUAUCCAAAGUUCAUAUUGUAAAUUUGUAAAUUUAGUUACAAAUAUUUUAAUUUGUUAUUAAUUAUGUUAAUAAUAAUACAGUUAUUAUUAGAUUAAAUUCAGUAUAUUUUUUAUUUUUAGUAAGAUUUUAACUAUAUGGUGAAUAGAUGUAUUUUAAGUUAAAUUUUUUUAUUUAGCUUAUUUUUAUAUUAAUAUUGUAUAUGUUCUUUAUUAAUAUAAUUUUUAUAUAUACUAUAAAAGUUUAAUGGCUAAAUCUUGCUUUACUGUUUGACUUACAAGUCUAUCAGUCGCGUAAGCGGGGCAUAUGAUCACAAGAUGCAUAAAGGAAAGGUCUUGGAUUAAAGAAAAAGUUACGCUAGGGAUUUAGCUUAAGUCCCCUAAUAUCAUAAGAUAUUAUAUAUAAUUUGGGUAA
rnacentral:ncRNA from 1 species